GACUGGAUAGCCUAGCAGUAAAGGCCAUUAUUCUGUCUUGGCAUACAUGCUGAGGUCCCAGGCUCAAAUCCUGGUCUAGUCA
rnacentral:tRNA from 1 species